rnacentral:rRNA from 1 species
UACGUAGGUGGCAAGCGUUGCUCGGAAUGACUGGGCGUAAAGGGCGCGUAGGCGGCGAUCACAGUCAGAUGUGAAAUUCCUGGGCUUAACCUGGGGGCUGCAUUUGAUACGUGGUUGCUUGAGUGGGGAAGAGGGUCGUGGAAUUCCCAGUGUAGCGGUGAAAUGCGUAGAUAUCAUAAGGAAGACCAGUGGCGAAGGCGGGUCUCUGGACAGUUCCUGACGCUGAGGCACGAGGGCCAGGGGAGCAAACGGG